CUCUUCACCUCCCCCGCCCGCGUGGUCGCCUCCACCGCAGCCGUCCGAGAGGAGCUGGGGGAGGACGGUGGCCCGCGAGGCUCGUCGCAGACAACCCGGCGGCGAUGUCCGCGAGCCAGGCGAGUGCCGCGGCGGCAGCGGCGGGGCCUCGCGCACGGCAGGGCGGCCUGGGUUUUGGCCUCCCCCCGGUUCCCUGGAAGCGGGCCGGUGGCCAGUGCGGGAACGGCAGCAGCAGCAGAGGCGGAAGCUUCAGUGCGUCUCUCUACCCUUUAGCCUGAGCCAAGGGAGGCCAGGCAGCCCGGGUGGCUGGAGGGGGUCCGCUGCCCGAGAAUGGGAAUUCUCUUCACCAGGAUAUGGAGACUGUUCAAUCACCAGGGUGAGGCGGC
rnacentral:lncRNA from 1 species